AGAGUUUGAUCCUGGCUCAGAACGAACGUUAGCGGCGCGCUUAACACAUGCAAGUCGUGCGAGAAAGGGGCAACCCCGGUAAAGCGGCGCACGGGUGAGUAACACGUAGGUAAUCUACCCCCAGGUGGUGGAUAACCUUCCGAAAGGAGGGCUAAUACAGCAUGAGACCACGGGUUCGCGAGGACCUGAGGUCAAAGCCG
rnacentral:rRNA from 1 species